rnacentral:rRNA from 1 species
GCAAGUCGAACGAGAAAGUGUCUUCGGACACGAGUACAGUGGCGAACGGGUGAGUAACGCGUAAGAAUCUACCUAUUAGUGAAGGAUACCAUCGAGAAAUCGGUGUUAAUACUGCAUACGACCUAAGGGUGAAAGGAGGCCUCUUGCUUCCGCUGAUAGAUGAGCUUGCGUAGUAUUAGUUAGUUGGUGAGGUAAUGGCUUACCAAGACGAUGAUGCUUAGCCGGCCUGAGAGGGUGAUC